rnacentral:rRNA from 1 species
UACAGAGGGGGGCAAGCGUUGUUCGGAAUUACUGGGCGUAAAGAGCGUGUAGGCGGCCAAACAGGUCCGUUGUGAAAACUGGAGGCUCAACCUCCAGACGUCGACGGAAACCGUGUGGCUAGAGUCCGGAAGAGGAGAGUGGAAUUCCUGGUGUAGCGGUGAAAUUCGUAGAUAUUCGGAAGAACACCAGUGGCGAAGGCGACUUACUGGACGAUUGUUGACGCUGAGGUGCGAAAGCGUGGGGAGCAAACAGG